rnacentral:lncRNA from 1 species
AGAUCAUUAGAGGUUUUAGAGCUGGCUGAGACAGGUUGCUGGGGUUGUAUAACUGUGCCUAGAGGGCGGGGUUCCUGUACAUUCCUACUUCGCCAGAUAACCUGCCCCCAACACCACUCCAGCUUCUGCCAGACAGAUGGAACUCUCCAACGUGAAAAUCUGCGCAGCUAUUCCAACAAGCAGGACUCUGCCUGGUGUUGGCCGAAGGAUGCAGAAGAAAAAGGUUUAAGGACUGGGACGCUCUUACCCCAAGAUUGCCCUUGAAGUUAACACAGCGACAUAGCCUUUUAAGACCAAGCACUCUUGGCAUUCUUUCGAGAUUGAGAAUUCCAGAGCAUCGGAUGAACAGGACUUAUAGCUAAGGCGUGCUCACCCACCCCUCCCUCCGUCUUUUUACGCACGCACCAGCUCGUCCUCACGUGCACGGGGUAGUGGACAGUGUUGACUUGAAUUGCUCUCGCUUGCUCCAAGCCUUUCCUGUGAAUGAACCCGAAAACACUCGACAGGUCGUGAAUAAUCGUUUUAAUGAGUGUGCAAAGCGUGCGACGGAGUGCACCGAGUUGUCGGGUUAAACAAACAACUUGUACCCUGACCAAAUCCGAUUGUUAAAGUGCAAAGUGAUGUCAGUACCAUUUCCAUUGCCCUUCGGAAAACCACAGAUCUGACACGCGGGAGUCCAAUUUUCCCCAUUAAAG